rnacentral:rRNA from 1 species
UACGUAGGGUCCGAGCGUUGUCCGGAGUUACUGGGCGUAAAGGGUGCGUAGGCGGGUCUUUAAGUCAGGGGUGAAAUCCUGGAGCUCAACUCCAGAACUGCCUUUGAUACUGAAGAUCUUGAGUUCGGGAGAGGUGAGUGGAACUGCGAGUGUAGAGGUGAAAUUCGUAGAUAUUCGCAAGAACACCGGUGGCGAAGGCGGCCAACUGGACGAAUACUGACGCUGAGA